GACGAACGCUGGCGGCGCGCCUAACACAUGCAAGUCGAGCGAGAACCAGGGCUUCGGCCCUGGGGACAGCGGCGAACGGGUGAGUAACACGUGGGUAACCUGCCCUCGGCACCGGGAUAGCCCGGGGAAACCGGAUUAAUACCGGACAGCCUCAUGAGCUCUCGGGCUCGUGAGAAAAGGUGGCUUCGGCUUCCGGCUGAGGAUGGGCCCGCGGCCGAUUAGCUUGUUGGUGAGGUAACGGCUCACCAAGGCGACGAUCGGUAGCCGGUCUGAGAGGACGAUCAGCCACACUGGGACUGAGACACGGCCCAGACUCCUACGGGAGGCAGCAGUGGGGAAUCUUGCGCAAUGGGCGAAAGCCUGACGCAGCGGCGCCGCGUGAGGGAUGACGGCCUUCGGGUUGG
rnacentral:rRNA from 1 species